rnacentral:lncRNA from 1 species
AUGCCCUCACUAGCCCAUGCUUCAGGAGCUCUGGAGACUCCCAGUCCAGUCAUCCUCCUCACAGACACAGGAAACAUGGCCAACUGCAGCAGCGUCUCCAGACUCGUCCUCAUGGCCCUCCUCGGCCUCUGGGUAGCCACCCUCCACUCAGAGACUGUGGCAGACCCCACACCUACUUUACAAGGGGACAACCAGGACACGCUGUCCGGAGAGGGGGCAUAUGAAGUCACCACCAAAGACCCCUUCCAGGAUAUGACAGAGAGUGUGUUGACUUUCGAGUACGAGGACACCACCCACUCACAAGCCGUGGACGAGGAGGAAAGUGUUCUGGGCCCUGGCGCCAUCACGGCCAUCGUCAUCGCAGUCGUCCUGGGGGCUUCAGUCCUCCUCGCCCUCAUCGUCAUCACACUCAGGAAGUUUACUGCUUCCUAGAGCCACUUCCUCCUCUUUCUUUCAAUCUCUCUCUUUCACUUUGUCACUUCCAUUCAUCUAUCUUUGUUUUUCCCGUUCUCUAAAUUUUCUCACGUUCACUCUGUUUCCCUUAUACACACAUAUUGUGAAAGUGAAACCCUCUACAACUCUGGAUGCUAUAAUGGUAUGUGGCAGGUCCCUUUGGCCUUGAAGAGCAACUGACAAUGAAAUACCUUCAGACUCUAGCUACUAUAAUCAUUCUGUUCUUGUUGGCGCACAUGUCCACUAUUACAUGCUGGUAGUUAGGAUUUGCCCCUAAGAGGACAUUCGAGACUGGCAGGUUCUUCCAGUGUAAAGUCAGAGCUUUAAUACCAUUGAAUAGUGAAAAAUAAAAUCCCUUUUUAUUUACUUGUAAUGAUCUGUAGUUGAUAAUUGUGUGCCCAAAUGUUUUGUGGAGCUUUGAUUUGUUUUUGCUGAUCUUUGUAGAAGGGAUUUUUUUCUGCCGGUUGUGUUGUGUGUUGCUUGUAUCCUGUCUCUGUCUGUCUUUGUGCAUGAACGGGUGUGAUGAUGAAUCCACCAUGUUCAUUACGUUGCUGAGUGCCUACACAUUUGGUUAAAAGUUAAGUGUUAUUGACAGUACAAUGAAAAAUAAAAUGAUUUACCAAAUGUACUAUACAGAAUUCACUUGUAUGGUCAAAUGUUAUUUUGAAUGAUCAUAUCUCAUGAGAGAAUAUUUUCACAAUGCACACAAUGUGCUACCUUGUAUUGGCAAGUAGUUUAUUUAAGAAACGUUUGCCAUUUUCCAUUGGAACAAAUAUAUUGAUAGUGACCCAAAAUUAUAAUAUUUUAAGAUGAAAAUGCUGGCGUCGUCAAUAAAUAAACAUAAACAGGGUCAUUUGUUUGUUUUUACCUGCAAAACGACAGAAUGACUGUUGUGUUUGAUGUGUUUUUGAGGGGGAUUGAUGGGAAGCAUUGUAUAAUAUUUAGAUUUUCUCUGUAUUGCUCUUGCGUUUUACCAAUCAACUAACUAAUGCUUAUGUAAAACAAAUAUUCUUUAAGGUAAUAUCACCUGUUUGAACUAUGUUUUAUAUUGUAUAAAUCACUUCCUACAACCAAAU